AUUGAACGCUGGCGGCAUGCUUUACACAUGCAAGUCGAACGGCAGCACGGGGGCAACCCUGGUGGCGAGUGGCGAACGGGUGAGUAACACAUCGGAACGUGUCCUGUGGUGGGGGAUAACCUGGCGAAAGCCAGGCUAAUACCGCAUAAGCUCGCAGGAGGAAAGCGGGGGACCCGAAAGGGCCUCGCGUCGCAGGAGCGGCCGAUGUCCGAUUGGCUAGUAGGUAGGGUAAAGGCCUACCUAGGCGACGAUCGGUAGCUGGUCUGAGAGGCUGGUCAGCCAAACUGGGACUGAGACACGGCCCAGACCCCUACGGGAGGCAGCAGUGGGGAAUUUUGGACAAUGGGCGCAAGCCUGAUCCAGCCAUUCCGCGUGCAGGAUGAAGGCCCUCGGGUUGUAAACUGCUUGUGUACGGAACGAAACGGUCUGCUCUAAUACAGCGGGCUAAUGACGGUACCGUAAGAAUAAGCACCGGCUAACUACGUGCCAGCCGCCGCCGUAAUAC
rnacentral:rRNA from 1 species